AGUAUUGACAGUGACCCUGUGAGUACUAAAGACAUAAGAACAAUUCUCAGUGAGUGUAAAUGACAGAAAGAAUGGACAAAUUCCUGAGCCUGCUCAUCUUUUGGCUACAACUAUACUGGGUGAGCAGCAAAGAGGACGUGAGUCAGAGUCCUGAAGCUCUGACUGUCCGAGAAGGAGACAGCUUGUUUCUCAACUGCAGUUACUCCAGUAGUGGUAUUUACUUCUUUCAGUGGUUUAGGCAGCACCCUGGGAAGGGCCUCAUACCCCUGUUGUUGAUCCGGUCAAAUCAGAGAGAGGAAACAAAUGGAAGAAUUAAAGCCUUGUUGGAUGAAACGUCAAGACAUAGUGCUUUGUACAUUGCAGCUUCUCAGCUCGGAGACUCGGCCACCUACCUCUGUGCUGUGAGGCACAGUACACAAGGAGAACCUGUCACCUAUACCCAAACUCUGUGGCUGAGGACCCAACCACAUGUCCUUUCUUGA